UGUGGGAGCGAGCCUGCUCGCGAUGACGGCGGUACAUCCAGCAUAGCCGUUCCGGACAGACCGCUAUCGCGAGCAGGCUCGCUCCCACA
rnacentral:misc_RNA from 1 species